UACAGAGGUCUCAAGCGUUGUUCGGAUUCAUUGGGCGUAAAGGGUGCGUAGGCGGCGCGGUAAGUCGGGUGUGAAAUCUCGGAGCUUAACUCCGAAACUGCAUUCGAUACUGCCGUGCUUGAGGACUGGAGAGGAGACUGGAAUUUACGGUGUAGCGGUGAAAUGCGCAGAUAUCAGGAGGAACACCGAUGGCGAAGGCAGCUCGCUGGGACGGUACUGACGCUGAGGCGCGAAAGCGUGGGGAGCAAACAGG
rnacentral:rRNA from 1 species